rnacentral:rRNA from 1 species
CAUUUGCCAAGUAUGUUUCCGUUAAUCAAGAACGAAAGUUAGAGGUUCGAAGGCGAUCAGAUACCGCCCUAGUUCUAACCAUAAACGAUGCCAGCCAGCGAUCCGCCGAAGUUCCUCCGAUGACUCGGCGGGCAGCUUCCGGGAAACCAAAGCUUUUGGGUUCCGGGGGAAGUAUGGUUGCAAAGCUGAAACUUAAAGGAAUUGACGGAAGGGCACCACCAGGAGUGGAGCCUGCGGCUUAAUUUGACUCAACACGGGAAACCUCACCAGGCCCGGACACCGGAAGGAUUGACAGAUUGAGAGCUCUUUCUUGAUUCGGUGGGUGGUGGUGCAUGGCCGUUCUUAGUUGGUGGAGCGAUUUGUCUGGUUAAUUCCGGUAACGAACGAGACUCUAGCCUGCUAAAUAGACGAUUUCCGGUAUCCACAAUAGUGCUACCGGCGAAAUCAAUAUCUUCUUAGAGGGACAGGCGGCUUUCAGCCGCACGAAACUGAGCAAUAACAGGUCUGUGAUGCCCUUAGAUGUCCUGGGCCGCACGCGCGCUACACUGAAGGAAUCAGCGUGUACACCCUGGCCGAAAGGCUCGGGCAACCCGUUGAACCUCCUUCGUGCUAGGGAUUGGGGCUUGCAAUUGUUCCCCAUGAACGAGGAAUUCCCAGUAAGCGCGAGUCAUAAGCUCGCGUUGAUUACGUCCCUGCCCUUUGUACACACCGCCCGUCGCUACUACCGAUUGAAUGAUUUAGUGAGGUCUUCGGACUGGUGCGCGGCGACCGCAUGCGCGGCCGCCGAUGCCACCGGGAAGAUGACCGAACUUGAUCAUUUAGAGGAAGUA